GUUUGGGGCAUUGUCCACGGGACGGAGCCGGGGUCUAGGGGGCGGGACCGGGAUCUGCGGCGGGUGGGGGGGUGGGGGGGGAAGUGGCGGACCGCCGGGGUCCAUGGGACGGAGCCAGGGGUCUCCGGGGAGGGGGCGGGUCAGUGAGGGGCGUGGCCAGCGUCCCUGGGACGGUCCCCGGGGACGGGGGGGGGUCCGGGGACGGGGUCCGGGGACGGGGGGCGGGGCUCGGAGGAGUCCAGCCCCCCGGGGGGGGGCGGGCCGGGACCAGGGCGGGCUCGAGGCUCCUUGGGUGUAGCGGCAGACUUGCAGUCCACAGUGCGGGAGCUCUUAGUGGUUUAGCAGGAUCAGGCCAAGAAGAAUCGAGAACACACCCGGAAGUUGGAGAGACCCGAAGAAUCCAGCCAAGGGCCUGGAUCCCACGGCAGUGUCCCGCAGAAGUCCAGCUAAAGGCCUACAGUCCAAGGCAAUGUCCUCCACGAGUCCAGCCAGAGGCCUAGGUCCCACAGCAGUGUCUCAUCCAAGUCCGUAUCGGGGAUCGGCACCGGGAAGGCCCAAGGGCCAGUGGUGGAAGCUAAAAGCCUGCACUGUCGGGGAGAAGGCUCUGCGCCCCCAGCCGAGGGACCUGCCCUGGAGCCAGGAAGCGAUACUCAAGGCGAAGACCAUCCAUCGUGACCAUGAGGACCUGACAUGGCAAGCUUCUCCAAGAAAACUGGAGCAUGCAAGCUUCCCCUCCAGUUCUAUUUUUAUGCUGUUGCAAUAACCCUCAGGUGGGUCUUCCACACCCAGACCACGCUGACUCAGUUCAGCUGGGCGUUCCUAGUUCACCAUUAGUUAGUCCACCCCACCCACUAAAAAAGAAAAACAGA
rnacentral:lncRNA from 1 species